rnacentral:rRNA from 1 species
GACGAACGCUGGCGGCGUGCUUAACACAUGCAAGUCGAACGGAGAGGCGAACGGGUGAGUGACACGUGUGUGACCUGCUCUGCACUUCGUGGUAAGCAUGGGAAACUGGGUCUCAUACCGCCUAUUGUGGGAUGGGCUCGCGGCCUAUAAGCUUGUUGGUGGGGUAAUGGCCUACGAAGGCGGGGACGGGUAGCCGUCCUGAGAGGGUGGACGGCCACAUUAGGACUGAGACACGGACCAGACGCCUACGGGAGGCAGCAGUGGGGAAUAUUGCACAAUGGGCGGAAGCCUGAGGCAGCGACGCCGCGUGGGGGAUGAAGGCCUUCGGGGUGUAAACUCCUUUCACCAUCGACGCGGUAGAUGGAGAAGAAGCACCGGCUAACUACGUGCCAGCAGCCGCGGUAAUUC